rnacentral:rRNA from 1 species
CAUUGCUGGAACGCGCUUCGGCGCACCCAGAAACCCUUUGUGAACUUAUACCUUACUGUUGCCUCGGCGCAGGCCGGCCCCUCUCGCGGGGCCCCUCCGGAAGGAGGAGCAGCCCGCCGGCGGCCAACCAAACUCUUGUUUCUUAGUGAAUCUCUGAGUAAAAAACAUAAAUGAAUCAAAACUUUCAACAACGGAUCUCUUGGUUCUGGCAUCGAUGAAGAACGCAGCGAAAUGCGAUAAGUAAUGUGAAUUGCAGAAUUCAGUGAAUCAUCGAAUCUUUGAACGCACAUUGCGCCCUCUGGUAUUCCGGAGGGCAUGCCUGUUCGAGCGUCAUUUCAACCCUCAAGCACUGCUUGGUGUUGGGGCACCGCCUGUGAAAGGGCGGGCCCUGAAAACUAGUGGCGAGCUCGCCAGGACCCCGAGCGUAGUAGUUUAUAUCUCGUUCUGGAAGGCCCGGGCGGUGCACUGCCGUUAAACCCCCAACUUCUGAAAUUU